rnacentral:lncRNA from 1 species
UCUCAUAUUGAAUGAUUUAUGGCACAUAAAGUUAACUUUUCACAGUUUAAAACUUUGAAACUACUUUUAACAGAAAUAAAUUGUCAUCACAUACUUCCCAAUAUCUGUAUUAUAUCACAAACUCUUGUUUAACAUAACUUCCAUGUUAAUUCAUUUGAAAUUGUUGAAACUUUUGUCCUUCUCCAUGUUGAUAUAUAAGGCUAAAGUGUCGUCUGCUGCCAGUGCCUCGUUCCAAAAUUAAUUUGCAUUUGUAAACAUGUGCUGAUGUCAAUCCACAUAGAGUUACUGUUAGAAAACGCUAUUUUUAUGCAUGUUGUAAAUAAACUGUAGUUGUUGUAUGAAGAAAUGUUAUUCCUGAUAUCAGUCCUGUUGAUUGAAUCGUUGUUAUAUGAAGUAUUCCAUUGUAGACUAUGAAAUGUAAAUAUUACGAGCACCUGUUCUGAGUGUUCAUCUUUAUGAAUGAAUGUGUAAAUUCCUGCUCAUGCGCAGUAGUUAUAACAUGUCAAGCUAAUCUUUGAUGAUUAUUAGUUCGAUUUUUAAUUUAACGCUUUCACAGUUGUACUCACCGGCAUUUCGUAUAUCCAUUGAGUUGUAUAAAAGUAUUCACAUAGUUUUUAUAAGCUGUCAAGUUGUUUUAGCGGCGAAUUCUGUAAUUUUGUCAGCCGUUAACACACACAUGUUUUGUUCUCAUAGACAAGUCGCUACUUCCGGUGGCGCAGUUGUAACUUUAUUUAUUGUUGCCAAGGAGAAUUGAAAUAAAUAACAUAG